ACCGGCUGGCCGGGGCUGCAGCUGGUGGACCGGGACCAGUGGGGCGCGCGGCCCUGGCGCGAGCCCAACGGUUCGAUCCCGUACGCCGGUCC
rnacentral:tRNA from 1 species